rnacentral:rRNA from 1 species
AUUGAACGCUGGCAGCAGGCCUAACACAUGCAAGUCGAGCGGAUGAGAAGAGCUUGCUCUUCGAUUCAGCGGCGGACGGGUGAGUAAUGCCCAGGAAUCUGCCAGGCAGUGGGGGACAACGUUUCGAAAGGAACGCUAAUACCGCAUACGUCCUACGGGAGAAAGCAGGGGACCUUCGGGCCUUGCGCUAUCAGAUGAGCCUAGGUCGGAUUAGCUAGUUGGUGAGGUAAUGGCUCACCACGGCGACGAUCCGUAACUGGUCUGAGAGGAUGAUCAGUCACACUGGAACUGAGACACGGUCCAGACUCCUACGGGAGGCAGCAGUGGGGAAUAUUGGACAAUGGGCGAAAGCCUGAUCCAGCCAUGCCGCGUGUGUGAAGAAGGUCUUCGGAUUGUAAAGCACUUUAAGUUGGGAGGAAGGGCAGUAAGUUAAUACCUUGCUGUUUUGACGUUACCGACAGAAUAAGCACCGGCUAACUCUGUGCCAGCCGCCGCGGUAAUAC